CGGCAACAGCUCAAAUUUGAAAUCUGGCGUCUUCGACGUCCGAGUUGUAAUUUGCAGAGGGCGCUUUGGCAUUGGCAGCGGUCCAAGUUCCUUGGAACAGGACGUCACAGAGGGUGAGAGCCCCGUAC
rnacentral:rRNA from 1 species